UGGUGGGGUUGUUUGCCUGGUUUGGGAAGAAGAUUGGCUUUCUCGUUGAGAGCAAGUUUAGACUUCAAGGCAGAUAGACGUGUGAUGUAACUUCCCCCAGAAGUUACUAUGUCGCAGAUUUUUAAGACCUGCCUUGAUUUUGUUUCUUAACAGAGUUCCACCAUGGUUCCACCAUGGUUCCACUUCCAUUUCCCUCGGGACAAGAGUUGGGAUUGCUGUCGUUGUUCAGGCAACGCUCUCCACCUGAUCGAUGUAUUUAGUGCUUAUUGACGAACGACUCGUGUUUUAUCAUUUGUACUUUAUAUGAACAUCUAUUCUUUUUCUUCUAUUGCUUGAUAUUUUUUCUACUGUACAGUGUAGUUUACUUUGCUCUUUCUCUAUCAUUUAUUGUACCUGUACAAUACAUUGUAAAGCAUUGCAUGUAGCUGUUUUUGUGAUAUUGUUGUUUGAAAUCGAGAUGCCAGUUGUCACACUGGGAAUUUAUUAUCGGUGUACCUUCGACACUGAAUAUUAAUAAAUACCUCUUUGGAAUCAUCGGCACAAAA